GGGGAUGCUAGGCCUCGACAAGAAGUAUUUUAUAUAUGUGCAGGUAAAGCUAGAGUAACUUUUAAAACUGCUCUACAAAGAUAAGUGCAAACUUAUUUUCUAAAGCACGAGAAACCCUUGCUUCCUUUGCGGGAGGUUGGGGUGUCCUUGCUCCAGCAUACGCGUAACUGCUGACUGUUGGCGUCUAUACUCUUGAUUUCCGAUAAAGAGAUAUGGGUGUAAUAUUUUCGGAAUAGAUUAUUGCGUCCGCUUCGCGCACUAAUUAAAAACACAGAAGCUCGGGGUAAUGCCAUUUUGUGUAUUUUCUACUCAUUACUCUUAAACAUCCUCCGUCGCUAAAGCUAUGGAGGACAAAGAACUAAAUACUCUACACCUGUAAAGUCAUCUAUAAACCCUUUUUGCACGGCGGUUCAAUUCCGCCCAUCUCCAUAA
rnacentral:tmRNA from 1 species